GGAGAACAGCUCCCAGCAGCCCACACAUGGUGACUGCGUGAGCGGCCUGUGGCCACCACAAUAGUUACCACAAAUUGGGUGGCAAAAGACAAGAGAAAUGUAUUCCCCCCAGUUCUGGGGGCCAGAAGUCUGAAGUCAAGUCAUCCGCAGAGCCCUGCUCCCUCUGAAGCCUCCAGCGGGGAUCCUUCCUGCCUCUUCCAACUCCUGGUGGCCCCAGGCAUUCCCUGGCUUGUGGAUGCAUCACUCCCAUCUCUGCUUCCGUUUUCAUGUGGCCUCUCCUCUAUGUGUGUCUGUGUCUUCUCUUCUGCUUCUUAUGAGGACACCUGUCAUCGGCUUUACAACCCACCGGAUGUUUUCAGACUCGAUGAUCCCAAAAGUGAUCCCAUUAGAAGAAGAAGGAAAAAAAAAUAAAAAAGAAAGAAACAACCUCCGCCCCUGCAACCUCUUAAACGGCCCACAACAUCUGAAUCGGAAGGUCCGUUCAUGCUGAUUUUCUACGUGUCAGGAAUUUCAUGCCAAAAAGCGACUCUUCUACAUUAAUAACGCAUCUCCCCAUCCAAGACAGGAAAUAACAUUACAAAAGCCGGAAAGGACAUCAAACGCGCUGGCUUGGCAGCCACAUGUAUAUGUGAAAUUACUGUCAGAGUUCAAAGGCAGGGCUGAGACAUGGAGGGUGCGUGCGGCAGUGUUACCCCAUGAUGCUUUUACCUCGUGGGAAUAAGCACAGUGGCAGGUUACUGUGACCUGGCCACUGGCUUCCUGAUACCCACAUUGAUUCUGGCACGUGGGACUGCAGGGCUGGAUUUGGGUGGGCUUUGCAGCUCCCCAUACAUCCUACCCCAGCUCAAGAGCCUCACACGUAAAGCAACCUUUCCAGGUUUGGGCAGCCCGGACCAGUGCCUGCACCCAGGGCUGGCCAAUGCUGCAGAGCUGGCUCUUACUGAGCACUGCACUAAUUAUUAAAGCAUUGCCUCAGGACUCUUGCACAACCUUGAGAAGUAGGAGCUAUCAUGCCCCCUAAUUCAUGGAUGGGGAAUUGAAGAUGAAUUGAGGUUACUUGAUGUGCCCAUUGCAUGGAGGAAGUGGAGGAACCAAGGUUCAAGCCCAAAGAUUCCAUCACUCACAACUACCAGGCUUCACUGCUUCAAUGUGGAAGCUUCCUUGGGAGAUGCAGCCAACCACGCCCAGGCAAGGUUGGACCUGAAGGUGUGAAGAGCUCACCUUUCUGGUUAAGGCAAGUCACUGAGCCCCAUUUGGAGAUGGAGUUUGCAUCAAUCUUCAUGGCAAGAGGGAUCAUGACAUGAAUGAGAGGGCAGCAAUUUGACCAAAGGCUCUUCUAGCUAGACAGGUAACUUGGUUUAUCCUCCUGACUCAUUAAACUGCCUGGUGAACUCCUAUGCAUUCUUCAAAACCCAGUUUAAACAUUCCUUUCACCAUGAAGAUUUCCUUGCCCCAUAAAAAGUCAAUCAACUCUUUCUUUGGGCCCCUGAAGUGUAUGUGUUGUGAGUGCUUCUGUCUUGACACAGACUGCUUUGCCUUGAAUGUGUGCAGCUCGCUGUCUGUAUAGUACAUUCAUCAAGGACAGGAAUUGUGUUCAAUGUGCCUGUGGACACCAGCUUGGAUUAACAGGAACAACGCUAGUAACACCCAGCGCUAGUUAAUCACGUACUCUGUGCUGCGCACUCCUCUAACGGGGUCAUGGGCUCUAAUCCUUAAAACACCGUAGGAGGCUGCUGUGAUUAUUAUUCCCAAUGGCGAGGCGUGUAGGCUCUGAAGCCAGGCCACCUGGGUUUGAACCCUGGCUCUGCCUGUGACCUUGAGUGAGUUACUCAGCCUCUCUGUGUCUCGGGAUUCUCAGUGACAUAGGGAUCAUCACAGCAGUCACCCAGUGAGGGCUGGAGCCAACUCCGGCAAGAGCUAACUAUUAAAGCUUAAAGAAUUUUGCCAUCGUUAAACAUUACAUUAUGCACACUUAGAGUGGAGUAAACUAUAUUUAAAACAAACGUAAUAAACACUCAAAAGUCAUCACUUCCUAAUUAUUUCCCCACAUUUUACUUUCCUCCCUGCCCUUAAGGAUACUCACGUUUCCACUUUGGUGGAAAUACGGAAUAACGAUGAGCUUGCACACUGCUUCCCAACUUUAUGUUCAAUGGCCUCACACUGGUUGAAAUGAGACGUAAGGAGGGGAUUUACACCAUGGAGACUGGCAAACGCUAUAACUCAGGGUUUUUUUAACCUUGGAAAACCACUUGUUAAGCAUUCCCCAGCACAGCGAUGUAACCACCUUAUAGCAAGCACACAGUAAGCUGUCAAUAUGCAUUAGCUACUAUUGCUAUUACUACGAAGAAGACAGAGCUUAAAUCACUCACCCAGGUUAUGAAAGAUCCAGGUAUGACCCCAGACAUGACAGCUCCCUAUCCCUUAACCAGCUUGAACUCAAGGCAGACCACAGAGGAGUGGCCAAGAAAUGUAUUUGGUUGAAUAAACAAACAUUGAAUUAGUAGAUCUCAAAUCUGCUGGCCGCAGAAGUGCCUGGGGAGCUUUGUAUGGACACAGAUUCCCACAGUAUCCCUUGUGGUAGGCUCCAGAGUGUGCAUUAGAGCGAGUGCGUCGGGUUCUGAUUCUGUCCCUCCCCAUAGCCCAGCCCCAUCCCUGUCUUGCUUGUUGCCCGCUUGUGACCCAUCUUCCACAUCUGCCUUCCUGCAUCCCUACGGGGGUGAGUGGGAACUGUGAGGUGGAGAACCGCAUAGGGCAGGGGCCCCUCUGUGCACAGGCCUUAACCAAGAGAGGGCUUGAAGACUGAACACCGUUGCAGGCAAAUUAGAAGAAAACCUGCCUCCUCCAGCAGACACUGACCGUGGUGUAUAGGCAGCCAAGAGAGGCCGCAGCUUACCUGGGCUCAGAGGCCUGCAUAUAUCUGAGUCCACGGUAACAAAAAACAGGCUGUGAGCGUGCACUGCACUUGCAAAUUCACAAAAUGCUGCCACAUUCCUUCUCCUUUCAUCUCACGAUAACCCCAUGAGAUCAGCAAUGGAUGCAUAAAAAUAAUCCCCCGUUUACAGAUGAGGAAACAUGUGACUCAUAUAGCUCAGAGCUGCUCAUGCCUGGAGCCUCAGGCUUCAAAGCUGUGUUUUUCCUUCAAAAGUGGGUGUGAGGGAGAGAAGUGGAGAAGAUGGGGGCCGGAGUCCCGGAAAGUCAACGUUUAUGCAUUAUGUUGGCUUUGCUACCCACUAGCUGUGUGACCCUGGAAAAGCUUCUUAAUUUCUCUGUGCCUUAAGUUUGCACCUUUGAAAAACCUAAGAAAAUGAUUGGCAGCCUCCUCUUAUGGUUGUGGUGAAUUAAUAGAUGUAAAAAUGCCUCUUAGAAUGUUGCACUGGGUGGGGUUCAAUAAUGGAAUAGACAGGAACCACAGCAACAGCUAUAAUGAUAUUGUUGCCUUUAUAUAUCUUGUGGCAUUUCCGGGCUAUUAUUUUUAAAAGGCAGGCUAUUGAGCUAUCUGGGAUAGAUCAAGUGACGGAUACGUAGAUGGGAAGUCAAGGAGCUCUAGACUGGAAGUUGGGGACCAUGGAUUGAAGACCUCAUCCAGUCAACAGGUAUUUCCUGGACACAUACGAUGUGUCCAGUCCUCUGAAGGUCCCCUCUGACAAAGUGGCUGCAUGGAGCAAUAGCUACGACUGUGACCCCAGGGCCACACAGACAGGGUCUAUGUCUGCAGCUGAUGGGCUCACGGCCUUGCUCUAGUCCCUUAUCUCCCUGCAUCUGUCGUCCCGUCUGUAAAAUAGAAUGAAUCAGAAAAUAAACAGCAUCUCUCUGACUCAGUGGCUGCAUGGAGCAAUAGGUAAGAGUGUGACCCCAGGGCCACACAGACAGGGUCUACAUCUGCAACUGAUGGGCUCACAGCCUUGCUCUAGCCCCUUGUCUAUCUGUAUCUGUCAUCCAAUCUGUAAAACAGAAUGAAUCAG
rnacentral:lncRNA from 1 species